rnacentral:rRNA from 1 species
GCGGUGGGGGCGUGCCUAUACAUGCAAGUCGAGCGGACAGAAGGGAGCUUGCUCCCGGAUGUUAGCGGCGGACGGGUGAGUAACACGUGGGUAACCUGCCUGUAAGACUGGGAUAACUCCGGGAAACCGGAGCUAAUACCGGAUAGUUCCUUGAACCGCAUGGUUCAAGGAUGAAAGACGGUUUCGGCUGUCACUUACAGAUGGACCCGCGGCGCAUUAGCUAGUUGGUGAGGUAACGGCUCACCAAGGCGACGAUGCGUAGCCGACCUGAGAGGGUGAUCGGCCACACUGGGACUGAGACACGGCCCAGACUCCUACGGGAGGCAGCAGUAGGGAAUCUUCCGCAAUGGACGAAAGUCUGACGGAGCAACGCCGCGUGAGUGAUGAAGGUUUUCGGAUCGUAAAGCUCUGUUGUUAGGGAAGAACAAGUGCAAGAGUAACUGCUUGCACCAUGACGGUACCUAACCAGAAAGCCACGGCUAACUACGUGCCAGCAGCCGCGGUAAUACGUAGGUGGCAAGCGUUGUCCGGAAUUAUUGGGCGUAAAGGGCUCGCAGGCGGUUUCUUAAGUCUGAUGUGAAAGCCCCCGGCUCAACCGGGGAGGGUCAUUGGAAACUGGGAAACUUGAGUGCAGAAGAGGAGAGUGGAAUUCCACGUGUAGCGGUGAAAUGCGUAGAGAUGUGGAGGAACACCAGUGGCGAAGGCGACUCUCUGGUCUGUAACUGACGCUGAGGAGCGAAAGCGUGGGGAGCGAACAGGAUUAGAUACCCUGGUAGUCCACGCCGUAAACGAUGAGUGCUAAGUGUUAGGGGUUUCCGCCCCUUAGUGCUGCAGCUAACGCAUUAAGCACUCCGCCUGGGGAGUACGGUCGCAAGACUGAAACUCAAAGGAAUUGACGGGGGCCCGCACAAGCGGUGGAGCAUGGUGGUUUAAUUCGAAGCAACGCGAAGAACCUUACCAGUCUUGACAUCCUCUGACACCUAGAGAUAGGGCUUCCUUCGGGGACAGAGUGGACAAGGGGGUGCAUGGUUGUCGUCAGCUUCGUGUCC